GACUCGGUGGCGGAUGGUGCGCGUCCACAUCAUAUCAAUUUGAAUACUGAUUGCGCAUCGACUGUGGAAGUCGCCUGUUCGAUCCAGGCCCGAGUCA